rnacentral:rRNA from 1 species
UACAGAGGUCUCAAGCGUUGUUCGGAUUCAUUGGGCGUAAAGGGUGUGUAGGUGGCGCGCUAAGUCGGGUGUGAAAUUUCGGAGCUUAACUCCGAAACUGCAUUCGAUACUGGCGUGCUUGAGGACUGGAGAGGAGACUGGAAUUCAUGGUGUAGCAGUGAAAUGCGUAGAGAUCAUGAGGAAGACCGGUGGCGAAGGCGGAUCUCUGGGCCAUUACUGACGCUGAGGAGCGAAAGCGUGGGGAGCGAACAGG